rfam:Brachypodium distachyon strain Bd21 chromosome 5, whole genome shotgun sequence.
GAAUUACUACCUCCGUCCAAUAAAGGGUGUCUUAAAUUUGAUCAAAUUUGAAUGCAUUUAUACACUAGGUCAUUUCUAAAUACAUCUAAAUUUUAACAAACUUGAGACAUUUUUUGUUAGACGGAGAGAGUACUUG